UCACACGUGCAUAUUACAGCCUACGCCUGAAGCCAGCUGAGCAGGCGCUAAAGCCUAGAGUCCUCAGGAUGGUGGUCCUGGGACAAGGCGGCGGUCAGCAAGGGCUUCACCCCAACCUGCCAGAGAGGAUGUCAACAGGCAAGGACAAGGAUGAAGGAUUCUGGCACAAAGAUGGGGCAUUCGUCCGAGGGGGUUCCAACGACAGCUACGCUUCCCAGGAGGUUGUGUCAGAAGACAGAGCAACCGCAGAGGGAUAGGAAGAGCAAGUUCAGAUUUGGGCAAAGACUGCAGGUCCUCUCGGUGGGCAUAUUCAUCAGUACAAGAAGAAAGGCUCCUCACAUAAGCUACUUCCUGAGUGGUAAGCUUUCCCACGCCCUCCAAAGAAGAAAGCAUGCACACACUUUAGCUCCAUUUUUCCAGGAAGCUAAAGCCUCCCACUUGGGAGCCUGUUGGGCCUUAGGAGACUGGCUCGGCACCCCCAAAACCCUUCGUGUCUGCACCCAGAGUGCUGGCCUUCCCUCUGCCAUCCCACUUACUCUCCGACCUUGGGUUUUGCUAAAGGUCACCUCUUUGGCAUUUCCUGGCUUCCUCAUCUAGGACUGAAAACCUCAAUCCCGUCCUCCCUUGCUUUUCUUUCCCAUACCUUCUCUGAUAUAUUUCCUAUCUUCCUGGGACC